CUUCAACGAGCCGAGCCAGAGCGGGUGUCCGUCCUCGCGGCCCUGGCCGUAGGUGGCGAGCAGCGCCUGGGCCUC
rnacentral:antisense_RNA from 1 species